AUUGAACGCUGGCGGCAUGCCUUACACAUGCAAAUCGAACGGUAACGGGCCUUUGGGUGCCGACGAGUGGCGAACGGGUGAGUAAUACAUCGGAACGUGCCCGAUCGUGGGGGAUAACGAGGUGAAAGCUUUGCUAAUACCGCAUACGAUCUACGGAUGAAAGCAGGGGACCGCAAGGCCUUGCGCGGACGGAGCGGCCGAUGGCAGAUUAGGUAGUUGGUGGGAUAAAAGCUUACCAAGCCGACGAUCUGUAGCUGGUCUGAGAGGAUGAUCAGCCACACUGGGACUGAGACACGGCCCAGACUCCUACGGGAGGCAGCAGUGGGGAAUUUUGGACAAUGGGCGCAAGCCUGAUCCAGCCAUGCCGCGUGCAGGAUGAAGGCCUUCGGGUUGUAAACUGAUUUUGUACGGAACGAAAAGCCUUCUUUUAAUACAGGAGGGUCAUGACGGUACCGUAAGAAUAAGCACCGGCUAACUACGUG
rnacentral:rRNA from 1 species